rnacentral:lncRNA from 1 species
GGAGACCGACCAAUCAAUAUAAGACACUAUGGGCCAAUUGUUUGAAUGGAGUUUCUGUCAUUCACAGUUUAUAGCAAAACCAUAUCUAGAUGAUGUUCAGAUAAAUUGUGAUUUUAAAUGCAUUACAAAGAUGUUGACUUUGCUGAGUCUAACAGAACAGAGGCUAAUUCUCGGCUGUUACUACAGUUCCAACAUUCCCUCGUUAUUUGAAAAUUUUCAGCCAAUCAGUAUCGUGGGCUCUAUCGAUGACAUUAGUAAAAUAGCAGAAGUUUGAAAUGAAGAAUGUUUUAAGUUAGAUUUAAAACAUUUAAUAUAUUCUUUAAAUUAUAUUUCACUCAAUAUAUUUCUUCCUCCAUAUUUCAA